AAAGAAAGCGUAAUAGCUCACUGGUCGAGUCGGCCUGCGCGGAAGAUGUAACGGGGCUAAACCAUGCACCGAAGCUGCGGCAGCGACGCUUAUGCGUUGUUGGGUAGGGGAGCGUUCUGUAAGCCUGCGAAGGUGGCCUGUGAGGGUUGCUGGAGGUAUCAGAAGUGCGAAUGCUGACAUAAGUAACGAUAAAGCGGGUGAAAAGCCCGCUCGCCGGAAGACCAA
rnacentral:rRNA from 2 species